UACAGAGGUCUCAAGCGUUGUCCGGAAUUACUGGGCGUAAAGAGCUCGUAGGUGGUUUGUCGCGUUGUUCGUGAAAACUCACAGCUCAACUGUGGGCGUGCGGGCGAUACGGGCAGACUAGAGUACUGCAGGGGAGACUGGAAUUCCUGGUGUAGCGGUGGAAUGCGCAGAUAUCAGGAGGAACACCGGUGGCGAAGGCGGGUCUCUGGGCAGUAACUGACGCUGAGGAGCGAAAGCGUGGGGAGCGAACAGG
rnacentral:rRNA from 1 species